rnacentral:rRNA from 1 species
AGGGUUUGAUCAUGGCUCAGAUUGAACGCUGGCGGCACGCCUAACACAUGCAAGUCGAGCGGGGUAGCAAUACCUAGCGGCAGACGGGUGCGUAACAUGUGGGAAUCUGCCUUUUGGUUCGGAACAACACGGGGAAACCUGUGCUAAUACCGGAUAAGUCCUUACGGAGAAAGUUUUAAUGCCAAAAGAUGAGCCCGCAUUUGAUUAGCUAGUUGGUGAGGUAAAAGCUCACCAAGGCGAUAAUCAAUAGCUGAUUUGAGAGGAUGAUCAGCCACACUGGGACUGAGAUACGGCCCAGACUCCUACGGGAGGCAGCAGUGGGGAAUCUUGCACAAUGGGCGAAAGCCUGAUGCAGCGAUGCCGCGUGAGUGAAGAAGGCCUUUGGGUUGUAAAGCUCUUUUGUCGGGAAAGAUAAUGACUGUACCCGAAGAAUAAGGUCCGGCUAACUUCGUGCCAGCAGCCGCGGUAAUACGAAGGGACCUAGCGUAGUUCGGAAUUACUGGGCGUAAAGAGUAUGUAGGCGGCUAGAUAAGUUAAUUGUGAAAGCCCAAAGCUUAACUUUGGAAUUGCAAUUAAAACUAUUUAGCUGGAGUAUGAUAGAGGAAAGCGGAAUACAUAGUGUAGAGGUGAAAUUCGUAGAUAUUAUGUAGAACACCAGUUGCGAAGGCGGCUUUCUGGAUCAUUACUGACGCUGAGAUACGAAAGUAUGGGUAGCGAAGAGGAUUAGAUACCCUCGUAGUCCAUACCAUAAACGAUGAUUAUUAGAUGUGGGGAAUUAUUUCUCUGUAUCAUAGCUAACGCGUUAAAUAAUCCGCCUGGGGAGUACGACCGCAAGGUUAAAACUCAAAUGAAUUGACGGGGACCCGCACAAGCGGUGGAGCAUGUGGUUUAAUUCGAAGCAACGCGCAGAACCUUACCUACCCUUGACAUCCUGCGAAGGUGACCGAGAAGUUACUGUGCCGAAAGGAACGCAGAGACAGGUGCUGCAUGGCUGUCGUCAGCUCGUGUUGUGAGAUGUUGGGUUAAGUCCCGUAACGAGCGCAACCCUUGUCCUUAGUUGCCAUCAUUUAGUUGGGGACUCUAAGGAGACUGCCGGUGAUGAACCGGAGGAAGGCGGGGACGACGUCAAGUCAUCAUGGCCUUUAUGGGUAGGGCCACACACGUGCUACAAUGGGGCGUACAGAGAGUCGCCAACCCGCGAGGGGGUGCCAAUCUCAGAAAACCGAUCGUAGUCCGGAUUGUUGUCUGCAACUCGACAGCAUGAAGUCGGAAUCGCUAGUAAUCGCGGAUCAGAAUGUCGCGGUGAAUACGUUCCCGGGCCUUGUACACACCGCCCGUCACACCAUGGGAGUGGGUUUUACCAGAAG